CUCAUCCUGGCUUAGGCAUUUAUGAUUCUGGCUGAGCUUGUAAACUCAGAGGAUUAGAGGAUGGAGAAAUAGGGCAUGUCCUGCCUCAUGGGAGGAGAUAAAAGCCUCGGGGUACAAGAAAAAGGGCAAGAUUACAGGAUCCCUGCCUGCCCAGCCUUCCAGACUCUUGUUCAAGGACUCCUGCUUCACAGAUUCCAUUGUCUCUGUGCUCCAAAACAAUAAA